rnacentral:tRNA from 1 species
UGGGCUAUCGCCAAGUGGUAAAGCACAGCACUUUGACUGCUGUAUUCGCCGGUUCGAAUCCGGCUAGCCCAG